rnacentral:rRNA from 1 species
AAUUCGCCCUUCGGGGUGCAGCAGGCGCGAAACCUUAGCAAUGUGCGAAAGCACGACUGGGUCAGUCCGAGUGAUUCCUGAUAAAGGAGUCUUUUGCUUGUCCUAAAAGCACAGGUGAAUAAGGGGUGGGCAAGUCUGGUGUCAGCCGCCGCGGUAAUACCAGCACCUCGAGUGGUCAGGACGUUUAUUGGGCCUAAAGCAUCCGUAGCCGGCUUUGCAAGUCUUCGGUUAAAUCCACCUGCUCAACAGAUGGGCUGCUGGAGAUACUACAAAGCUAGGGAGUGGGAGAGGCAGACGGUAUUCAGUGGGUAGGGGUAAAAUCCUCUGAUCCAUUGAGGACCACCAGUGGCGAAGGCGGUCUGCCAGAACACGUUCGACGGUGAGGGAUGAAAGCUGGGGGAGCAAACCGGAUUAGAUACCCGGGUAGUCCCAGCUGUAAACGAUGCAAACUCGGUGAUGCAUUGGCUUAUGGCCAAUGCAGUGCCGCAGGGAAGCCGUUAAGUUUGCCGCCUGGGAAGUACGGACGCAAGUCUGAAACUUAAAGGAAUUGGCGGGGGAGCAC